UGCUAGUAGGGUUUUUCUGGCGGCGCGCAGGGCUCUGAGCCUAAGCCUGCGAUCUAGGACCUGCUGAUGAACUGCAAGGGUUUGAUCCACAUCUGGAGUCCGAGCACGCACGUCACUCACACUGUGACCCAGGCAGACUGCGGUGCCCGCUGUUACGCAGAAAGUGGGGCUCGUGGAAGAGUCCUCACCGGCUUGAACUUUCAGCACCAGGUACAGUCAUCCAAAUGGGCGAGCUCCCAGAGCAGUCCUAGGACAGAAGUUAGGACCAAACCCCGUCCUCUCUGUCAUCAGGUGUGAAGCAGGCUGAGUAAUUGAGUCCAUCACAUUCUUAUAUUAAGAAGGAGCUCACCUGGACCAGUCCUGCAGGGGUCUACUUGAUGGAAGCAAUGACCUUGGCCCUCUGCUCCUGAUUCAGACAAGCAAAAUGAAGGUCCCCACAAAGUGAUCUCAUAGGACACAACACCGAGGAACAAGGACAGAUUUCCUGCAAGGCUUGUAAAACUGGGGGGAGAUGUUCAAAAAGAAAAGCUGUUAUCGUGAAUCUAAAUACUAUGGAGAAGGUAAAGAAGUUGGAAAGGAAACAGAAACUCCUGCUGGCCUACUAAUCACCAGGCAUGUCAUAUGCAUUACCUCCAGGCACUGUGCAGGACUGAGCUGGCCCAGGCAUCCACACACUGUUCCCAUCUCAGCAGUACUGAUCCAGGCUAAGUAGCUGCCCUUGGACCCUACACAGUACCAUCAGGAUCUUGGGUGCUAGACUCAGGAGGAUCAUUUUUGAAAACUCCCCAAGGGAUUUUACAGUACAUCCAAUGUUUAUCUCUUAUGAACACAUAAAAUCUGCCCUCCCCUUAGCCUCUGCUCCCCACCAUAAGGUCAGGCUCCUGCCUCUUCCUUCUUUCUUAGGCUUGCUGGCAGGUCACUGUGUCUCCACUCCCUCCAACCUCUGAGUCCAGUUCCCUGGAGGAAGAACUUAAAUUCUGCCUCUGGCUAUGUCUACAGAAGUUCCUGGGGCCCUGUAACACUGAUCCUUCCCUGCCUCCUGGCCUGGCCCUUCCCAUCUGAGCACGCAUGUAUCCGUGUACACACACAUGUGCGCGCACAUACAAUGACUGAAGUAAAUCUGAAAUGUGGGACUGUUUCAUCUGUAAGAGACUUAACCCAGCAUAGAUAUUCACCAGGAAAACAAGUGCCACUAAAAUGAGAACUCGCAGUCUUUUCUUUAACACCCAGAACUAUCACUUUUCUAUAGUGACUCACCUCCCAGAAACUAGGGUGGUAGGAGCACCCCUGUCUCUCACAACUGUGGGGCACAGUGGGUACAAAUGCACGACAGGCUGAGUGGCAGCUCUCACAGACAGGCACAGACGGGCUAUGUGCUUUGCUCCAGGGAAGUCUGCACACAUUGAUCACUCAGCCUUGGUCUCUCCUCAUCCUCUUAAACAUCUACCCUGUCGUCCUCACUCCAGGUUACCAUGAGCCCCUAGUGGCCCAGUUCAGAUGCCCAUAUGCAGUCCUCAUUCAUCCUGAGUGCCCCUCAGCCCUAGAGCACACACAGCCACUUGACACCUCCCAGGUCUUGGUGUGGGGGCUCACCAUUCCUGGGUCUAUGAAAGUAGUGGGUCAAUGGUUCCUUCUGUGAAUCAUCCCUGGAGGCAGGGAAGCCCAUGUUUCUAUCCUAGGGCUUUUUAAAAAAGUGUCUGUGUAGUCCAGACUGGACUUGAACUCACAAUGUAGGUGAAGAUAACCUUG